rnacentral:rRNA from 1 species
AAUCAACGCUGGCGGCAUGCCUUACACAUGCAAGUCGAACGGCAGCACGGGGGCAACCCUGGUGGCGAGUGGCGGACGGGUGAGUAACACAUCGGAACGUGCCCUGGAGUGGGGGAUAACGCAGCGAAAGCUACGCUAAUACCGCAUAUUCUGUGAGCAGGAAAGCAGGGGAUCGCAAGACCUUGCGCUUUGGGAGCGGCCGAUGUCGGAUUAGCUAGUUGGUGGGGUAAAGGCUUACCAAGGCGACGAUCCGUAGCGGGUCUGAGAGGAUGAUCCGCCACACUGGGACUGAGACACGGCCCAGACUCCUACGGGAGGCAGCAGUGGGGAAUUUUGGGACAAUGGGCGGAAGCCUGAUCCAGCCAUGCCGCGUGAGUGAAGAAGGCCUC